ensembl:lncRNA
UUUUUUUUUGGUUUUUAUGAUAAUGAAAACUGCAACCACUUGUUGCUGAGGAUGAGAAGGGAAAGACUUUCCAGGACGUGGGGAUAAAUGGUAAGUCAGCCCGGGGUGGGGAGCCUCUAAAUGCCCGUAGGGAGCGUCACCUGCCCCACCCCUUUAUUCUGAAUAGCAGGCUCUAGAGAGCCCCGUGUGAUCGGGACAUGCAUGCGUCCAUGGGUGAGAGACCCUGGUUAGACAACACCACCUCCCCCGACCCCAUCCUUGCUCAGAACUGACAAAGAAAGGAGAUUUCCUCAGGAGUUGGGAGUGGAGUCCCGGAGGACACUGGGUCAGGGCUAAGUCUGGCUUAAUCAGCUCCUGGCUGGUUCUUCACUGCUGGUUUCCAAAAAGCCCCUGGCCUUGGAAACACUCUCUACUCCACCCUCCAGUCUCCUUUCCUGCCCUUCAGGGAGCCCAGACUCAGUUCAGUCUGCACAGCCAACAGGAACAGGAAGCAGAGCGAAGCAUCCAGCCGGAGGGCAGAGUUUGGGGUGCUGCUAGGAACUCAGUGGAGCACAGGUUUAGGAAGGGAAUCGGGGGCUGCCUCCACCCAGAAGGCCUCCAAGACUGUCCCCAGGCUGAGAGUCCAUGCAGGGGACUGAAGCAAGAGGCCCUGGUGUCUGUCUUGGUCAGAAGUUCUCGGCUUGGUUGGGCUGAGGUCAUUUGUGGCCCCUGAGAGAGAACUGUCCUCCUAGCCAGUGGCAAGCGAUCCUUCUGGUGGAAGGCAGAGAAUCUGACUUUCCAUGGCUGGUGUAGACAGAGAAGAGUGUGUAUGCAUGUGUGGGUGUGUGGGUGUGUGUGAGAGAGAGAGAGAAAACAAGAGGGAGAGAGAGAGAGAGGGAGAGGGAGAGGGAGAGAUGGGGGUUCUCUCUCCAGGGGCCAGGGAACCAGGAGGCAGGCACUGCCCCCUCCCACAUCCACAUUCCCAUGCUGCCAGGGGCGCACCUGGGGUCCUUCUCCAUCUGUCUGUAAGUUCUCUUCUCCAGCCUACUCUCUGUGUGAAGCGUUUGAAGCCUCCUUUGGAUGUGCCCCCUCACCCCCUGCUAAGAAGCGAGGCGGCCUCUGUGGCGGGAAGCUAAGGGAAUGCCAGUUGCGGGAGGGGACCUGAAGCUGUCCCUGCCUCUCUUCCAUCUCUCCCCAGCCAGGCUGUGUCCAAGGACUGUCUUUGUCUCUGCCAAAAGCUGGGAUUUUUCUAAUGGGAAGCCAGGUCUGGCACUGCUGCCUGCCAGCAAGCACAUGCCUUUGAAGGCUGCCUCCUCCUCCCACCGGAGGCAUGGACUUCCCUAUCUAAAAUUUACUCCUGGAGUGCCCAUCGUGGCACAGUAGAAACGAAUCCGACUAGGAAUUACGAGGUUGCAGGUUUGAUCCCUGGCCUCACUCAGUGGGUUAAGGAUCUAGUGUUGCUGUGGCUGUGGUGUGUGUAGGUCACAGAUGUGGCUUGGAUCUGGCAUUGCUGUGGCUGUGUUGUUGGCCAGCAGCUACAGUUCCGAUUUGACCCCUAGCCUGGGACCCUCCAUAUGCCACAGUUGCGACCCUAAAAAGACAAAAAAAAAAAAAAAUUACUACUGCCUCUAGCCUUGCUUGGGCAGAACCCCUCCCCCCCAGCACUUUCCUCUCAGCUUGAUGUGGGGGGAGGGGGAGAUGUCUGGGGGAUCAGCUGGGGAGGAUUCAUGGUUGUCACUGGGACCCCCAACUCACUGAGCAGAGUCUUUACCCAUCCUCCACCCCCUGGGCAGUAAAGUACUCAGGGUAAGUCAGGGUUCCCAGGGAGGGAUGCUGGGCAUAGUGGGGGGGUGGGCAGGAGAAGCCCCACUGGGGGCAGCUUGGGAGCAGGAAGCUGCGUCCCCUUCCCAAUGGACUCUGCUGCUGGCACCCCUCCCCCCUGGACCCUGAGUGCCCUCGCUCCUUCUUCGCCCAUCACCAAGCUCCUGCAAUUGGGGUGGCAAUGGAAGGGCGCGCUCUUUGGAGUUAGGAGCUUGGGGUCUGGCCUGGUUAGCGCCACCACCACCCCUUCCUCUCCACCCAACCAAGGGCAGCACCCUGUGUCACACCGCAAGGGCACACCCACAGACACACCCCACGCCAAGAGAAAGGAGCCUUGACCUGGGGCGCCCACAAGAUCAUCAACUGAAGUCUCUGCAGCAGGUGGUGGGUGUGCCGUCCACCCCCGACCCAGAACGAUGCUCCUAGAGGCCAGGUGGGACCUACGUAGGAAGGCUCCACUCUUGGGUCACAUGUUCUUUUGGAGCUGAAGUCAGAGCCAGUCUUAUGCAUAGAGAGGGUUGGGGAUGGCAUACAAGAAAUGACAGCAUAAAUUAAUAGUGGGACCGACAAAGGAAAAACAAGCAAGUGGCUAUAAAUGGAUCCAGAAACAAGGCUGAAAGUUGUGCUUCACAAUGAAGUAUUCACUGGAGACUGAGCUGUGGUCUAACAAAGAAUAUAACCAGUCUUUGUCCUCAGGUUCCCGGCACAGACCUUCAAAAACCCUUGGAAUUUCCUGAGGGAUCGGUGUCUUUGUUAUGGUAAUGAGGUAGCUCUUGGGGGGAGGGGAGGCUGCCUAGAGAGCUUCAGGAAUGGGAGCUGGUCACCGGAAAGGUCAACCACCUGAUGGAGGAGGGGUGGGGGCCUGGAGAGCGAGUUCCCUCACUCGGAUAAUGACUAACCGACUGCGCCUCCGUUCUGAAACCUUGAUAAAAACUCUGGCCACCGAGGCUCAGGGAAGCUCCUGGUUAAACAUGCUGAUGUACCAGGAGGGUGAUGUGCCCUGAUUCCACGUGGAAGGACCUGGAAGCUCUGGGUUCGGGACCCUCCUGGACCUGCUCGAUGUGUAUCCUUUAUAAUGAAACUGUAAUUGUAAAUAUAGCGCUUUCCUGGGUUCUGUGCGUCUUUCUAACUCAUUAUCAAACUUGAGGGGAUCAUGGAACUGCUGCAGGAAGGGGGGACCUGAGAAUGGACUCUCGUCUAACACUCAGAAAUGAAUCAUCUGAGGAGACCCACAUGGGACAAAGCAAGAGACUAUUGGGAAAGGGCUCUGGGCGGAGAGCAGCGGGGUGAGGGAAUCCAGGAGAACUGCUCUGCCACGUGGCUCGCAGUCUCCGGUUUUAUGGGAAUGGGGUUAGUUUCUGGGUUGUCUCUGGCUGAUCACCUUGCUCAGCCUGUAGUUGGUCUGGCUCAGGGUCCUUCUUGGUGGCAGGUGCACCUCUCAGCCAAGAUGGAUUCCAGGGCCAAGGACCUUGGGAGGUUGGUUGUCCCCUCCCUCCUACUGGCCCCUCCAAAAUCCUCCGGAUUAGUCAUAAGGACAGGGCCUCUUGUUGUAAGACAACUCAGGCAGGCAGCUCUUAUCGUGCCUGGCCAAGGUGGGCAGUUUCAGCCAGUGGUCCCCUAACAGAACCCCUGGAUUUGUAGCCCACUGAUGGGAAGUGUGGGUGGCAUGGGGAUUCCAUGUGUGGCCAGUGUUUGCAGUAAGCUCAGUCUUGUGGAGAUCUGAUGCCAACUCCAGGUGUUAGAGUCACAACUGCACUCUGUAUUGUAGUACCCACCCCACCCCCGGGGGCAGGAGAAACAGUGUGGGCAUGAGCUUCCCAAGAGCCAAAGCAGAACAAGGAUUCUUGGUGCAAGGAUUAGACAGGAGGAUCACAGGUGAACGUGCUGACCUCGUCUGUGAAGUAAGAGCAAUCAUGAGCCUUAGGGGGCUGUUUUCCAGACCUUCCAAAGAAAGAGGCAAUGUCACAUCCUGCUCUCGGCUAGACUCAGGGCCACGCUCAGUGUGGUGGCAGACCUGGCUGGGCUGAAAGAGGCUCUGCGGCCCCAGCAUGUGGAUGAUGCCCCCCAUCACAUCUGCACCCCAAUCUCUGCCAUGGGAUCAACGGGCUGAGGUGCCUCUCCUGUUUCCCUGGGGCUGUGAGCAGCUCCAAGCGGAAAUGGGCUCUGACACAACCAUCCAGGAGAGCGAGUAUCCUCACGCCUCUCCCCUACCCAGGCUCUUUGGCAAACUAGAGAAAGGGGCUGCAAUAGGCCCACAGGGCCCAGAGCUCCACAGGAAGAACUUGAACCUGUUUCCAGCUAUGGUUUGCACACAUGCAGACACAUGCAGACACAUCCAGUGAGUGGAAAGUGAAAUCAAGUCUCUCCGAAAUGGAGUUCCCCUGCCGAGUUUAUGAUGAACUUCUCUAUCCAGAAUGGGGUGCCCUUUCUUGUCCUGCACCUGGUUCCCCUCAGGAUUGAGGAGGAUCAAAGAAAAGGCAGAUCGAACCCAAGCAAGACCCUUCCCGGGUACAGAAGCUUUUUCGUGGCUCCUGUUUCUUGUUUAUAGAAAAAGGCUUUAGUCUCCUAGGCCCUCCCUGAGCUCCAAAGGGCAGAUUCAAGCAGUUACUAAUUAGGGAAGUGAGAGAAUGCAGAAACAAAGGAAAAGCAGUCAAGAAUCAACAGUUCAGCAAGAAAACAAUCCUCGCUCCUCUUCAAGGGAUAGACAGUUGCUUGCAGGAACUAAGACACCCACCCAAGGAUGGUGACUUUGUGCUGAGCACAGGCACAGAGACCCCAGACUGGAUGGAGCCUGAAAACUGAUGCUUAAGAUCCCUGAAGUGGAGUUCUCAUGGUGGCUCAGUGGUAACAAACCCUCCUAGUAUUCAUGAGGACUCGGGUUCAAUCCCUGGCCCUGCUCAGUGGGUUAAGGAUCCAGCAUUGUGUGAGCUGUGUUGUAGGUUGAAGAUGUGGCUUGGAUCCUGAAUUGCUGUGGCUGUGGUGUAGGCUGGCAGCUGCAGCUCCGAUUCAACCCCUCUCCUGGAAACCUCCAUAUGCUGUGGGGGUGGCUGUAGGAAAAAAAAAAAAAAGAUUCCUGAAGCACUAACAACCCAUCAGAAGAAAGUCAUGUCCCCUGCAGCCCUCACCCCGAAUGUUGCUUUUAAAAACCUGACAUGCCGGCCAGCCCACAGGAUGGAUUCAAGACAUGCCUGUUUGCCAUUGUCUCAGUCUGUGUCCUCUUGAUCAAUAAAUCUUUCUCUGCUCCAUACUCUGAUGGCUCAGUUCGUUUGGGUUCACUGUGUGUCACGCAUGUCAACGUGGGUUCAACAACAAAGGGGGCAGCAGCAAAUUCCAAACCCUGAGAGAGGUGGGG